rnacentral:rRNA from 1 species
CCUACGGGAGGCUGCAGUGAGGAAUAUUGGUCAAUGGGCGCGAGCCUGAACCAGCCAAGUAGCGUGAAGGAUGACUGCCCUACGGGUUGUAAACUUCUUUUAUAAAGGAAUAAAGUGAGGCACGUGUGCCUUUUUGUAUGUACUUUAUGAAUAAGGAUCGGCUAACUCCGUGCCAGCAGCCGCGGUACUACGGAGGAUCCGAGCGUUGUCCGGAUUGAUUGGGUUUAAAGGGAGCGUAGAUGGGUUGUUAAGUCAGUUGUGAAAGUCUGCGGCUCAACCGUAAAAGUGCAAUUGAUACUGGCAGUCUUGAGUACAGGUGAGGUAGGCGGAAUUCGUGGUGUAGCGGUGAAAUGCUUAGAUAUAACGAAGAACUCCGAUUGCGAAGGCAGCUUACUAAACUGCCACUGACGUUGAUGCUCGAAAGUGUGGGUAUCAAACAGGAUUAGAUACCCGGGUAGUC